AUGUGUUGAAGUACCUCAAAUAAAUAAGAGUAAUCAGAGAACGACAGGAUUUGCAAGAUAAAGUGGGUGCUUACCUGUUUGGUUUGCCAUCUGCUUUACUUUGGACCAAAUACCAGCGUAUUCAGUCCAAAACAACAUCAAAGAAAUUUUGUAAUGCUGCACUGCUUUGGAUGGUGGUAAUAAUGAUGAAAUGAAUUGAGGGCCAUAGCUACCUGAACUGAUGGCUAUAAAGAUACGAUGCUGUAUGUCUUCACCCUUCUGGAUCAGCAAUGUAUUUGCACUGUGCAAUGGGGGAAAAACAGCCAAAGCAGAGUCAGCUUUGGGGCUCUUAAGCCAAAACAUACAACGUAGGCAAUUCCCAGUGCUUGUCCCAGUGGAGUACUGCUAUUUAUGCAACAUGAAGUAUCUUACCAAAAUUGAUGGACCAGGUCUGCCUAAAUGA
rnacentral:lncRNA from 1 species